rnacentral:rRNA from 1 species
CCCUUAGAUGUUCUGGGCUGCACGCGCGCUACACUGAUGCGAUCAACAAGUUUUUCCUAUGUCGAUAGACACGGGUAAUCUUUUGAACUCGCAUCGUGAUGGGGAUAGAUUAUUGUAAUUAUUAAUCUUCAACGAGGAAUUCCUAGUAGGUGCAAAUCAUCAGUUUGCAUCGAUUACGUCCCUGCCCUUUGUACACACCGCCCGUCGCUCCUACCGAUUGAAUGAUCCGAUGAAUAUCAUGGAUUGAGGAUGCAAGCAGGUUCGCCUGUCUUCAUCUUCGAGAAGUGAAGUAAAUCUUAUCAUUUAGAGGAAGGAGAAGUCGUAACA